rnacentral:rRNA from 1 species
GCGCACCAGGCGAGAAUCUUCCACAAUGGGGGAAACCCUGAUGGAGCGACGCCGCGCGCGGGAUGAAGGCCCUAUGGGUUGUAAACCGCUGUUCAGUGGAAAGAACAUCCUCCGGCUGAAUAGGUCGGAGGCCUGACGUUACCACUGCAGAAAGUCCCGGCCAACUCCGUGCCAGCAGCCGCGGUAAUACGGGGGGGACGGAGCGUUGUCCGGAACUCAUUGGGCGGUAAAGGGACGGCGUAGGCGGCGAGGAAAGUACGAAUGUGAAAUACUUGCGGCUCAACUAGCAAAACUAGCGUUCGUAACUACCUUCGCUUGAGUAUGAGAGAGGUGUGCGGAAUUACCUGGUGUAGCGGU